AACGAACGCUGGCGGCAUGCCUAACACAUGCAAGUCGAACGUGAUCCGGAGCUUGCUCCGGUGAAAGUGGCGCACGGGUGAGUAACGCGUGGGAACCUGCCCAAAGGUAAGGAAUAACCGCGGGAAACUGCGGCUAAUACCUUAUGUUCCCUUCGGGGGAAAGAUUUAUCGCCUUUGGAUGGGCCCGCGUCGGAUUAGCUAGUUGGUGAGGUAACGGCUCACCAAGGCGACGAUCCGUAGCUGGUCUGAGAGGAUGAUCAGCCACACUGGGACUGAGACACGGCCCAGACUCCUACGGGAGGCAGCAGUGGGGAAUAUUGGACAAUGGGCGCAAGCCUGAUCCAGCAAUGCCGCGUGAGUGAUGAAGGCCUUAGGGUUGUAAAGCUCUUUCGGCGGGGAAGAUGAUGACGGUACCCGCAGAAGAAGCCCCGGCUAACUUCGUGCCAGCAGCCGCAGUAACAC
rnacentral:rRNA from 1 species